GAUGAACGCUGGCGGCGUGCCUAAUACAUGCAAGUCGAGCGAACGGACGAGAAGCUUGCUUCUCUGAUGUUAGCGGCGGACGGGUGAGUAACACGUGGAUAACCUACCUAUAAGACUGGGAUAACUUCGGGAAACCGGAGCUAAUACCGGAUAAUAUUUUGAACCGCAUGGUUCAAAAGUGAAAGACGGUCUUGCUGUCACUUAUAGAUGGAUCCGCGCUGCAUUAGCUAGUUGGUAAGGUAACGGCUUACCAAGGCAACGAUGCAUAGCCGACCUGAGAGGGUGAUCGGCCACACUGGAACUGAGACACGGUACAGACUCCUACGGGAGGCAGCAGUAGGGGAUCUUCCGCAAUGGGCGAAAGCCUGACGGAGCAACGCCGCGUGAGUGAUGAAGGUCUUCGGAUCGUAAAACUCUGUUAUUAGGGAAGAACAUAUGUGUAAGUAACUGUGCACAUCUUGACGGUACCUAAUCAGAAAGCCACGGCUAACUACGUG
rnacentral:rRNA from 1 species